rnacentral:rRNA from 1 species
UGGCCGCGGGAUUGCCAUGCGAGUCGAAUGUAGCAAUACAUGGCGUACUGCUCAGUAACACGUGGACAACCUGCCCUUAGGACGGGUAUAAACCCGGGAAACUGGGUAUAAUUCCCGAUAGGUCUCGUCUGCUGGAAUGCAUCGAGAUCCAAAGCUCCGGCGCCUAAGGAUGGGUCUGCGGCCUAUCAGGUAGUAGUGGGUGUAGCGUACCUACUAGCCUACGACGGGUACGGGUUGUGAGAGCAAGAGCCCGGAGAUGGAUUCUGAGACACUAAUCCAGGCCCUACGGGGUGCAGCAGGCGCGAAAACUUUACAAUGCUGGGAACAGCGAUAAGGGAACCUCGAGUGCCAGGUUACAAAUCUGGCUGUCGUGAUGCCUAAAAAGCAUUAUAUAGCAAGGGCCGGGCAAGACCGGUGCCAGCCGCCGCGGUAACACCGGCGGCUCGAGUGGUAACCGUUAUUAUUGGGUCUAAAGGGUCUGUAGCCGGCCGGAUAAGUCUCUUGGGAAAUCUGGCAGCUUAACUGUCAGGCUUUCAGGGGAUACUGUCUGGCUCGAGGCCGGGAGAGGUGAGAGGUACUUCAGGGGUAGGGGUGAAAUCUUGUAAUCCUUGAAGGACCACCAGUGGCGAAGGCGUCUCACCAGAACGGACCUGUCGGCAAGGGACGAAAGCUAGGGGCACGAACCGGAUUAGAUACCCGGGUAGUCCUAGCCGUAAACGAUACUCGCUAGGUGUCGGCCACGGUGCGACCGUUGUCGGUGCCGUAGGGAAGCCGUGAAGCGAGCCACCUGGGAAGUACGGCCGCAAGGCUGAAACUUAAAGGAAUUGGCGGGGGAGCAAAUCACUAGUGCGGCCGCCUGCAGGUCGACCA